rnacentral:tRNA from 1 species
GCAGGGAUAGCCAAGCCUGGUCAACGGCGCUAGAUUCAGGGUCUAGUCGUGAAGGCGUUCGCCGGUUCAAAUCCGGCUCCCUGCG